rnacentral:rRNA from 1 species
UGACGGCCUACCAAGGCGACGACGGGUAGCCGGCCUGAGAGGGUGUCCGGCCACACUGGGACUGAGAUACGGCCCAGACUCCUACGGGAGGCAGCAGUGGGGAAUAUUGCACAAUGGGCGCAAGCCUGAUGCAGCGACGCCGCGUGGGGGAUGACGGCCUUCGGGUUGUAAACCUCUUUCAGCAGGGACGAAGCGCAAGUGACGGUACCUGCAGAAGAAGCACCGGCCAACUACGUGCCAGCAGCCGCGGUAAUACGUAGGGUGCGAGCGUUGUCCGGAAUUACUGGGCGUAAAGAGCUCGUAGGUGGUUUGUCGCGUUGUUCGUGAAAACCGGGGGCUUAACCCUCGGCGUGCGGGCGAUACGGGCAGACUGGAGUACUGCAGGGGAGACUGGAAUUCCUGGUGUAGCGGUGGAAUGCGCAGAUAUCAGGAGGAACACCGGUGGCGAAGGCGGGUCUCUGGGCAGUAACUGACGCUGAGGAGCGAAAGCGUGGGGAGCGAACAGGAUUAGAUACCCUGGUAGUCCACGCCGUAAACGGUGGGUACUAGGUGUGGGUUUCCUUCCUUGGAAUCCGUGCCGUAGCUAACGCAU